CGACUUAGCGGCAUGCUUAAACAUGCAAGUCGACGAUGAAGCCCUUCGGGGUGGAUUAGUGGCGAACGGGUGAGUAACACGUGGGCAAUCUGCCCUUCACUCUGGGACAAGCCCUGGAAACGGGGUCUAAUACCGGAUAACACUCUCCUCCUCCUGGGGGUGGGUUAAAAGCUCCGGCGGUGAAGGAUGAGCCCGCGGCCUAUCAGCUUGUUGGUGGGGUAAUGGCCUACCAAGGCGACGACGGGUAGCCGGCCUGAGAGGGCGACCGGCCACACUGGGACUGAGACACGGCCCAGACUCCUACGGGAGGCAGCAGUGGGGAAUAUUGCACAAUGGGCGAAAGCCUGAUGCAGCGACGCCGCGUGAGGGAUGACGGCCUUCGGGUUGUAAACCUCUUUCAGCAGGGAAGAAGCGCAAGUGACGGUACCUGCAGAAGAAGCACCGGCUAACUACGUGCCAGCAGCCGCGGUAAUACGUAGGGUGCGAGCGUUGUCCGGAAUUAUUGGGCGUAAAGAGCUCGUAGGCGGUCUGUCACGUCGGAUGUGAAAGCCCGGGGCUUAACCCCGGGUCUGCAUUCGAUACGGGCAGACUAGAGUGUGGUAGGGGAGAUCGGAAUUCCUGGUGUAGCGGUGAAAUGCGCAGAUAUCAGGAGGAACACCGGUGGCGAAGGCGGAUCUCUGGGCCAUUACUGACGCUGAGGAGCGAAAGCGUGGGGAGCGAACAGGAUUAGAUACCCUGGUAGUCCACGCCGUAAACGUUGGGAACUAGGUGUUGGCGACAUUCCACGUCGUCGGUGCCGCAGCUAACGCAUUAAGUUCCCCGCCUGGGGAGUACGGCCGCAAGGCUAAACUCAAAGGAAUUGACGGGGCCCGCACAAGCAGCGGAGCAUGUGCUUAAUUCGACGCACGCGAGACCUUACCAGGCUGACAUACACCGGAAAGCCGUAGAGAUACGGCCCCCUUGUGGUCGGUGUACAGGUGGUGCAUGG
rnacentral:rRNA from 1 species